rnacentral:rRNA from 1 species
GCUAUCAGGCGUCGAGCGGCGGACGGGUGAGUAAUACUUAGGAAUCUACCUAGUAGUGGGGGAUAGCACGGGGAAACUCGUAUUAAUACCGCAUACGACCUACGGGAGAAAGGGGGCAGUUUACUGCUCUCGCUAUUAGAUGAGCCUAAGUCGGAUUAGCUAGAUGGUGGGGUAAAGGCCUACCAUGGCGACGAUCUGUAGCUGGUCUGAGAGGAUGAUCAGCCACACCGGGACUGAGACACGGCCCGGACUCCUACGGGAGGCAGCAGUGGGGAAUAUUGGACAAUGGGGGAAACCCUGAUCCAGCCAUGCCGCGUGUGUGAAGAAGGCCUUUUGGUUGUAAAGCACUUUAAGCAGUGAAGAAGACUCUUCGGUUAAUACCCGGAGACGAUGACAUUAGCUGCAGAAUAAGCACCGGCUAACUCUGUGCCAGCAGCCGCGGUAAUACAGAGGGUGCAAGCGUUAAUCGGAAUUACUGGGCGUAAAGGGAGCGUAGGUGGCUCUAUAAGUCAGAUGUGAAAUCCCCGGGCUUAACCUGGGAACUGCAUCUGAAACUGUAGAGCUAGAGUAUGUGAGAGGGAGGUAGAAUUUCAGGUGUA